UCCCCCACGCCUCUCAACGAAGCGCACUUGGGGGAU
rnacentral:sRNA from 1 species